rnacentral:rRNA from 1 species
GAUGAACGCUAGCUACAGGCUUAACACAUGCAAGUCGAGGGGAAACGACAUCGAAAGCUUGCUUUUGAUGGGCGUCGACCGGCGCACGGGUGAGUAACGCGUAUCCAACCUGCCCACCACUUGGGGAUAACCUUGCGAAAGUAAGACUAAUACCCAAUGACGUCUCUAGAAGACAUCUGAAGGAGAUUAAAGAUUUAUCGGUGAUGGAUGGGGAUGCGUCUGAUUAGCUGGUUGGCGGGGUAACGGCCCACCAAGGCGACGAGCAGUAGGGGUUCUGAGAGGAAGGUCCCCCACAUUGGAACUGAGACACGGUCCAAACUCCUACGGGAGGCAGCAGUGAGGAAUAUUGGUCAAUGGGCGAGAGCCUGAACCAGCCAAGUAGCGUGCAGGAUGACGGCCCUAUGGGUUGUAAACUGCUUUUAUAAGGGAAUAAAGUGAGUCUCGUGAGACUUUUUGCAUGUACCUUAUGAAUAAGGACCGGCUAAUUCCGUGCCAGCCGCCGCAGUAA